AAUCAACGCUGGCGGCGUGCCUCAGACAUGCAAGUCGAACGCGAAAGUCCCCUUCGGGGGACGAAGUAGAGUGGCGCACGGGUGAGUAACACGUAGGUAAUCUACCUUCGGAGUGGGAAUAACAACCGGGAAACGGUUGCUAAUACCGCAUAAUGCAGCGGCACCUAAUGGCGACAGUUGUUAAGCGGGGAGUUGAAGACCUCGNGUCUGAAGAGGAGCCUGCGGCGGAUUAG
rnacentral:rRNA from 1 species